AACUAUGAUCUGAAGUCAAGUG
rnacentral:rRNA from 1 species